AUUGAACGCUGGCGGCAUGCCUUACACAUGCAAGUCGAACGGCAGCACGGGAGCAAUCCUGGUGGCGAGUGGCGAACGGGUGAGUAAUAUAUCGGAACGUGCCCAGUCGUGGGGGAUAACGCAGCGAAAGCUGUGCUAAUACCGCAUACGAUCUAUGGAUGAAAGCGGGGGACCGCAAGGCCUCGCGCGAUUGGAGCGGCCGAUAUCAGAUUAGCUAGUUGGUGGGGUAAAGGCCCAACAAGGCGACGAUCUGUAGCUGGUCUGAGAGGACGACCAGCCACACGGGAACUGAGACACGGUCCAGACGCCGACGGGAGGCAGCAGUGGGGAAGUUUGGACAAUGGGCGCAAGCCUGAUCAGCAAUGCCGCGUGCAGGAUGAAGGCCUUCGGGUUAUAAACUGCUUUUGUACGGAACGAAACGGUGAGCUUUAAUACAGUUUGCUAAUGACGGUACCGUAAGAAUAAGCACCGGCUAACUACGUGCCAGCCGCCGCCGUAA
rnacentral:rRNA from 1 species